AUUGCUUCUUGGCCUUUUGGCUAAGAUCAAGUGUAGAAAUAAAAAAUUACACAUUUGUUGGAUUUGUUCCUUCAGAGUUCUUCCUUUUAAAAUCUCUAGUGGGAUAGAUACUGAGAAAGCAUUUUGUAUCUUCCCUGGGAAGCAGGCUUAAGGAGUGUAGUCUCACUCUUCUCUCAGCUCUAGGAAAGUAGGGUGUAGGCUGCAGGCUGC
rfam:Pan troglodytes isolate Yerkes chimp pedigree #C0471 (Clint) chromosome X, whole genome shotgun sequence.